CUUCUCUUCUCUUUCUCCUCCCUUUCCCCACUCCCACAGACCAGCCAUCGGCCGCCGUGUUCCGCUACCGAAAAUCGCCCACAGGCGGCGGCCGUCGUCCAAACCACCCCAAAAUUUCACCCUUUCUUCCUCUCAACCUCCUUUCCAUGAAUCCAAACCCCAAAUCCUUUAAAUCCCUCUCAAUCCCCGUAAAUCUAUGCCUAACCGAAACCCUAGGCGCCGCUCACCACCCCAAACUCCAAAAUUUUUACACCACCGGUCUCCUCUCACUCUCCUCUUCUCCGUUCCAUGCCCCAAAACCUUCAAAACCCCUCCAAAAUCCGACCACAAUUCCGCCGAAUUCCGGCCAGCUACCUCCUGCCGUUACUGAGCCUCUUUUCUAGCAUGAACACGACCUCGUGGCCUCUCUUUCUCUUUGCCACAGUGCUGGAAUCAACUUUGUUUUGCCAAAGUUUGUAUUUUUUGGCAUUUGACAUCGAGAAAAAGAGGUGUGGAGAUCGAUUCGCCGUCUAGUCGUGUUGUACUACUGGUUUGAAGCCCGAGCGUUUAGGGCUUUGUUUCAGUUUAUUUGUGAGUUAGUCCCAUAUCAUGGGU